rnacentral:lncRNA from 1 species
GGGGUCCGGCUCGGUCUCGGGAAGCGCCCCGGGUGGACCCCGCCCGCUCGGCCCGCCCUCCCGGCCGCCGCUAACACCCGGAAGAGCGGAUUCGCGUCGUGCUGGAAGCCGGGGCGGCUCAGGCCGCGGACUGGGCAUGCUCGGCAUGGGAGGCUAGCGGUGGCAAGUCGGAAGCGUUCGCACCAGCGGGGCAGCGGCCCGUGCAGCGGCAGCGGGCCGGACGGGAGCAGAAGGGCCGGCCACGGAAGGCUGCUCUCCCCUUGCGCCCGGCGAGCCGGCCAGAGAGCGCGAUCCGGGUGCGGAGCCCCGACGCUGCCCUGCCCUGGAUUUCAUUCCGUGGCGGGGGGCUCGGCGAGUGGAAUUCCGGCGGCUGCCGCGACUCCGAGGGUGAGGGCAGCAUGAACGAUCCCUGAAUGUUCCUUUGGGUAUAUUUAGCCGCUCGUUUUUGAUUAGGAGAGAGAAGACGGCCAUCCACUGGAAAGGCAAAGCUUCAGUGACUGAAGGAGUUGUGGAUUUUCUGAAUUUCAAGGACAGCAAAGUAGGAGCCUAGCAGAGGGUGUAUAAAAGACGACACUUCUUUAUCCAGGAAUAUUACAGUUACCAGGUCUGCCCUCUUCUCUGGAGUUGCACAGUCUAGGCCAGAGCUACUCAGAGUGUCAGUCUGAGAUGAGCUGAAGAGCUUGCCCUAGAACACAAACCAGCAAAC